CCUACGGUGGGCAGCAGUGGGGAAUAUUGGUCAAUGGGCGCAAGCCUGACCCAGCAACGCCGCGUGAAGGAAGAAGGCCCUCGGGUUGUAAACUUCUUUUGUCAGGGACGAUACAGAUGACGGUACCUGACGAAUAAGCCACGGCUAACUACGUGCCAGCAGCCGCGGUAAUACGGAGGGUGCAAGCGUUAUCCGGAUUUACUGGGUGUAAAGGGCGUGUAGGCGGGAGAGCAAGUCAGAUGUGAAAUUCCAGGGCUCAACCCUGGAACUGCAUUUGAAACUGUUUUUCUUGAGUGAUGGAGAGGCAGGCGGAAUUCCGGGUGUAGGGGUGAAAUGCGUAGAUAUACAGAGGAACACUAGUGGCGAAGGCGGCCUGCUGGACAUUAACUGACGCUGAGGCGCGAAAGCGUGGGGAGCAAACAGGAUUAGAUACCCCAGUAGUC
rnacentral:rRNA from 1 species